UUUCAUUGAUCUCUCUCGUUCUUUACUUUCUAUUUCAAACAGAAACAGAACGUGUAUGCCCGACCGUGUAGCACGACAACCGGGGCCAGCGAGGUGUUGAGCGAACCGCUGCCCGUCUCGGACUCCAAUGUGAUACAUCCAGCAACGAGCUCGAGGUAAGCCACCGCGAGGCUGACGUCAGCAAUGCAUAUCGUCGAAAUUACUUGCAGCCGACCCUGCCACCACGUUGUUGUUGGACUUGAGCAUGAUCAGGUCCUUUCUCUUGCCGAAAUUAUUGUAGUCUUGAUUGUCAUUGUUGUUCCCGACACUUCUUGUGCAAGUAUUUAUAUUCUUUUGUUACCUCAGUCAUUUUAAAAAUUACAUCAUCCCCAAAUAAUCACCAGGAUUGGUACCGGGCAACAUUAUCCGUGGAGUACUAGCGAUGGCGAUAUCGCUAGACACCUUGAGAGGGGGGCACGAUUGCUUCUCCU
rnacentral:lncRNA from 1 species